rnacentral:lncRNA from 1 species
AGGAAUUAUGUAAAGUGUUAAAGCAACUGUAUAUAUUUAAAUUGUGUGUGUUAAAGAUUAGGAAAAAAGAUAAUGGUUAUAUUUCCUAAAUGAAAUAACAUUCUUCUCUCCACCAAAUUUUUUUCUGAAGUUAAUGGCAUUUGGAUCAAGGUUUUAUUAAAAGCUACAUUUUAUAACACUGGCACAAAAAAAGUAGUUUUAAGCUUGUUUGCACAGUUCUUUUUUUCCAUUGGAAAUGGAAUUCAUUACCUUAGGUCUUUUAAAAUAGUGUAUUAUCGUUGGGGCUAGCUCUAUGCUUGAAAACCAGUUUAUUUAUAACCUGUUGUAAGUGCUAUAUUCUGUUUGCAGUUAGGAAAUGCAAAAUUUUAAGUGAUCUCCUAGCUUGUAAGCAAACUGAGAUACACUAUACCUUUUCUAUAUAAAAAUGAGUUAAUAUGUCAAUAAAUCAACUCAACAAGGUGGAUUUAAUAUUACCCUUUCCUAUGUGUUUUAUCUAAUUCUUUUGGUUGUUAAUAUGGUGAUAAAUGAAAGUCAAGGUAAAUUUUAAAUAUUAAGAUUUCCGAUUUAUUGAUCUUGAAUUAUGCCACCAUGCUUAUGUAAAAAUGAAGGUGGCACCAUGGUAAAACUUAAUGAGAAGUAAUUUCUCAGUUGUAAUAAUUUCAAUUUCUCUUUCUUGUGAUCUCUCCUUCCCUGUUGUCUUGAACUAUAGCAAAAGGAUACUACAUCUCUCAUUACUAUAGUGAUGAGGUUAUUGAAGUUAUAUAAACACAUCUCAAUCUCUGUUUCUUUGAAAGGUAUCUAUUAAGUCCUACUAGGUGAUUGACAAGACUAAGUAGGGAAAAUAAAGGUAAAUGUGAUUCAUAUUUUGCACACAAAUGCAAAAUUUUAUAACCACAUGACUUCAUAGUUGUGAUCUCAAAAGGAAUUUCUCCUUUAAUUUUUCUUGCAGUUAAUGUAAGAAUACUCUAAAUCUCUAAGCUUCUGAAGUAUUAGAGAUAAAGAUGAUCUAGUAAAGAUAUAGCUUAUCCAUUUAACAUGUGUUUAUUUUUCCUUAUGUACUCAAGAUGAUUUAUUUGUUCAGCUCAGUGAUAUUACAGCUAAAAAACAUUCAUUAGCAAAAGGAGAAGCAAUCUACAUCUAACAGAGGAAUCAAAAAUGUUUCUUAUUUUUGUUGAGUUAAAUGUUUGACUCUAACACUUUUCUUUAUACAAAACAUAGAUUCUCCAAAAAUAUUAUGCCAUAUGCUGACCAGAUCGCAUUAUUAAUUGAACAA